UUAGCCGACAACCGCAAGUUUGUCAGACAAAAGCAACUAUUAUCUCUGCUCGACCUUAACGACCAAUUAUAUCCAACAUUAUAAAAGGUGGAAAACAUUUACUUCAAAGUCCAUUUCCGGUUUAAUCUCGAUUAAAGGACAAAGAUAUACGUACAUAUGUCUAUAUUUACGAUUUUCUUCUCAGAAAGAGAACAGGGCGGAGAUCAAAACAUUUAUAAUCUGAAAUUAUUGAUUUCCAAUAAAUAACACUGGAAAUUAUAAAUAUUGGUGCCAUUAUAUUAAACAUUUGCGAAGAGUAACCAUGCCACGCACAAAAAAUUCAGCAGUACUGUCAGAUUUUCAAAGAGGUUGUAUUAUUGGGCAAUCUGAGGCUGGUCUUAGCCAGCGAAAAAUUUCGAAAAUCUUCAAAUUCCUCUUGCUACUGUUAAUAGAAUUAUAGUACAAUUCAAAAUCCAAGGAAAAGAAUGAACAGAUUCUCGUCCCAGCCGACCUGGGCCCUCGGAAACGAAGCUUCGCUGUUUGAAGAAAAUUGUGGAAAACGAAUCCCGUUCGUUUCUGACAUUGCAAAACGGCUAGAAGUUAGUCCAAGAACGUGUGUUACAUAUCUGCAUAAGCUUGAAGAAAACCUCUUCAAAACGAGUAGCUUGGAGAAAACCUCUCCUUCAAACAAUUAAUAUCAUGAAAAGAAAGAAAUAGGCUAAGAAGAUAUCAGAAAAAUCCAGUUCAUUUUGAGAUAGAGUGAUUUUCUCAAAUGAAUCCAGAUUAGCAUUAUUUUCAGACAGUGGACGUGUUUGGGUCUGGAGGCUUUCCAAUCAAGAAUUUGAUUUGAAACGACUCCAACCAACUGUGAAACAUGGCGGUAUUUCUGUAAUGGUAUGAGGAGCUGUCACCAGCAAUGGUCAUUCUGAGCUGAUCGAAUGUGUUUGAACCAUAAACUCCAAAAAACACAUCGAAAUACUUAAGCAAUGACUACUUCCGUUAUAUUCACACGAUAACAUAACGAAAAAUGAGUUUUUAAUCAUGGAAGAUGAGGCUCCAUGCCACACAUCAAAAAGAAAUCAACAAUGGCUGACGGAAAAUGGGAUCAAAAAGCUUCCUUGGCCGAGCCAAUCUCCUGACAUGAACCCCAUUGAAAAUCUUUGGAGUAUACUAGAUAGAGCUAUACGAAAAACUCGGCAGAAACCUAAAUCUAAAGAUGAAUUGUUUCGAUUGUUGCUUGAAAAGUGGGCAGAAAUUCCACAAGAGACAAUCACAAAGCUCAUCAGUUCAAUGCCAAAAGGAGUUUCUGAAUUAAAAACUGCAAAGGGAAUGUGAACUAAAUACUAAAGUAUGUAGUCCUACUAUCAAUUACAUUUCAAUUGUUCACUUUGUGUAUUAAAUAAAAGAUUUUGAAAAUUAAA